UCCGGUUGAUCAGAUUCGCUUUACGAUACGCUUUCUAAGAGUCAAGUUGUUUGGGAUUGCAGCUUAAAAUGGGAGGUAAAUUUCUCCUAAGGCUAAAUAACGGCGAGAGACCGAUAGCGAACAAGUACCGUGAGGGAAAGAUGAAAAGAACUUUGAAAAGAGAGUUAAACAGUACGUGAAAUUGUUGAAAGGGAAACGAUUGAAGCCAGUCGUACCUAUGGGUAAUCAGCCUUUUGGGUGUGAUUUUGUGGAGCGUGAGGAGUUAAACACCUUCAUGCCUGCAUAUUCGUGCACUUUGGGUGUACUUGCCCGUAUGGUUGGUUAACAUCAAUUUUGGUGGUCAUAAAAUGACUGGAGGAAUGUAGCUUCGAUCUUGUAUUGAAGUGUUAUAGCCUUCGGUAGAUGUGAUGAUCGAGAUUGAGGAUUGCAACGGAUACCCUUCGGGGCUACCUGUCUGAUCUCUGAUCGUUGCUCUGGUGCCGAAAGCUUGCUUACGGUUAUCAAAGUUGAUGGUCAAUAGGUUAGAAUGGGUUAAAUU
rnacentral:rRNA from 1 species